rnacentral:rRNA from 1 species
GCUUAGCCGUAAACUUUGAUGCUAAUAUACAACUAGCGUCCGCCAGGGGACUACAAGCGCCAGCUUAAAACCCAAAGGACUUGGCGGUGCCUCAUACCCACCUAGAGGAGCCUGUUCUUGAAUUGAUACUCCCCGUUUAACCUCACCACCUCUUGUCCCGUCCCGCCUAUAUACCGCCGUCGUCAGCUUACCCUGUGAAGGAAUAAUAGUAAGCAGAAUGGGCACAGCCCAGAACGUCAGGUCAAGGUGCAGCGUAUGAGGUGGGAAGAAAUGGGCUACAUUCCCUAAUAUAGGGCACUACGGAUGGUGCUGUGAAACCAGCCCUUGAAGGUGGAUUUAGCAGUAAGAAGAAAAUAGAGUGUUCUUCUGAACCCGGCUCUGAGGCGCGC